rnacentral:rRNA from 1 species
UGAGGAAUAUUGGUCAAUGGGCGCAAGCCUGAACCAGCCAUGCCGCGUGCAGGAUGACGGUCCUAUGGAUUGUAUACUGCUUUUGUACAGGAAGAAACACUCCCUCGUGAGGGAGCUUGACGGUACUGUAAGAAUAAGGAUCGGCUAACUCCGUG